GGAGUAUGUGGUUUAAUUCGAUGCAACGCGAAGAACCUUACCUGGUCUUGACAUCCCGGAGACCCUUAGGAAACUAGGGGUGCUUCCAUCUGGAGAAUCUGGAGACAGGUGCUGCAUGGCUGUCGUCAGCUCGUGUCGUGAGAUGUUGGGUUUAAGUCCCGCAACGAGCGCAACCCUUGCCUUUAGUUGCCAGCAGUUCGGCUGGGCACUCUAAAGGGACUGCCGGUGUUAAACCGGAGGAAGGUGGGGAUGACGUCAAGUCCUCAUGGCCUUUAUGACCAGGGCUACACACGUACUACAAUGGCCGAUACAAAGGGCAGCGACACUGCGAGGUGAAGCCAAUCCCGUAAAAUCGGUCUCAGUCCGGAUUGGAGUCUGCAACUCGACUCCAUGAAGUUGGAAUCGCUAGUAAUCGUGGAUCAGCAUGCCACGGUGAAUACGUUCCCGGGCCUU
rnacentral:rRNA from 1 species